rnacentral:ncRNA from 1 species
ACUGAAACUAUGAAGAAGAGAGUAAAUAUAAGUCCACUUCAGGGAGAAGGGGUCAUAGACUGAAAGCCCUUUUAUUGAUAUUUAUAUUGAAGUUCACUUCUGAGUUCUAACUGUGAACUUAUAGUAGCAGUUAGCGGCUAAGCCGUUAUAAUUUUAAGCUGGACAUUAAGUCAAUUAGGGUGGUACCGCGGAUAUAAAGUUCGUCCCUUCA